UACGUAGGGGGCAAGCGUUGUCCGGAUUUAUUGGGCGUAAAGAGCGUGUAGGCGGCCAGACAGGUCUGCUGUGAAAACUCGAGGCUCAACCUCGAGACGCCGGUGGAAACCGUCUGGCUAGAGUCCGGAAGAGGAGAGUGGAAUUCCUGGUGUAGCGGUGAAAUGCGCAGAUAUCAGGAAGAACACCGGUGGCGAAGGCGGUGGGCUGGGCCGGCACUGACGCUGAGGAGCGAAAGCGUGGGGAGCGAACAGG
rnacentral:rRNA from 1 species